rnacentral:lncRNA from 1 species
UCCCUCCCCCGGGAGGGGCGAGAUGCCCCGUACCCGGAUGUUGGGGGGACUCCUUCCCAGAAGGGGAGAAACCACCCGAAUCCGGGUGUCAGGGGAAGCUCCCACUGUGCCCAGGGUGGAGGGCACUCUCCAUCCGGAGGGAUGAGACCCCCAAACCCAGGUGUCAGGGCGGGGGGAGAUCCCAUGGCAACUGCUGUCCAGGGCACUUCAACCCCCAGAGGAGAGACAGCCUGAACCUAGUUGUCUGGAGGAGCACCCACUGCACCCAGUGUCAAGGUCACUCCAUUUCCUGUGGAGGGGUGAGACACCCUGAACCUGUGUGUCGGGCAGUGAUCCCACCACACCCAGGGUAGAGGGUACUCGCCCCCCUUGAAAGUGUGAGACUCCCGAGGUGUUGUGGGGAGUUCCCACCGCACAUGGGGUCAAGGGCACUCCCCAGCCCCAGGAGGGACAAGACGCUCCAAACCCUGGUGUUGGGGGACUCCCUCUUUGGC